UUGUGGUAGUCCUGUUCCGCAUGCCGCCUAUCUGGGCCGCGCCAACAUGGGCUUCGUCCCUCCCACCGAAUCUCUUGUCGCUGCCCUUCGUUCUAUCGUUUCUUUCGUCCCUCUCCGCAUCCAAGUCUAGGGUUCCGCUCUCCUUGGCCAGGCCGCCGCCUAUGACCAUCGUGCUCACUCUCCCUGCUCUCGCACUGCUCAGCUGAUGCCCGCACACCUCUCCCCUCCGCCUUCACUCCCCUCCGUAUCGUUGGGAACUUGCCCACCAAAGUCCAAGUGGAGGAGGCGCCGCCAUGACCCAGUCCUCCCCUCCCUAUCCGUGACGACGGAGAGCUCGCAUGGAGGACAACGGAUGGGCGCCCGCAUCGUGCGAACCUAGCGUUGCUGAAGACGGUCGGCGUCCGUGCUCCGAAACUGGGGAGGGAGGCCUCGAUCUCGGUCUGCAGCAUUGGUGGCCCAGACGGAAGUAGUAAGCACGAGGGACAGCCGGCCGAAGGACCUGCAGACUUUGUGGUUCACUUGGACAAUCAUACAUUUCAGCAGGCACAACAGGAUGAAGCACUACUAGGAUGUAUUUGUUGUUGGCGUGUUCUUAGUUUUCCCAAGGGGAAUAACGUGGAUCACUUAUCAAUUUACUUGGCACUCAGCCAACCUCCGAUAUGGUUGGAGCCAAUCUUCAUGGCAGUUAUUUGCCGAAUCCGAAUACAUGUUUAAUUCUGGAGGAGAGCACAGGUUGCCAGCUAGCUCACCUUGGCUUGUUCGCUAAUCUUGAUGAUAUGGGGGCAGCAUAGCAGGGGUCAUGAACAAUGACAGCUGAUUCUGUCUGGUUGUGUUGAGGUCAACAACUCAACGUCACUUACAUCUGUGCUAUUUUCAUGAUUAAGGGGAAAAGGAGUGGUACUUAUGCUAUGGUCGUAAUUGAAUUGCACAUAACUCAUUUCAGUGAUUGGGCGAAUCCGUUAGCCGCUGAAGAUUCUUAUGUAAUUUACACACUAAGAUUUUCUGAUCCUUGUUACUAUGUUAGUAGUAGAGAUAAUCGUCGUUGCAGGAUAUAUGUAAUUUUUAAAAUUUGUUCUUAUCUUUGCCUCAUAAUCUAAAUGUUGUGCGAUAAGGUGUAUAUAGGUAAUCAGUAAUUUCUUGUACUCUUUAAUAAGGAAGGGCAUAAGGAUUUCUUUUUGCAGUAACCAUUAUGAACAAGAUAUGAGUUUUCUGUUCUAUAUUGCAAAUAAAUAAAUCUCUGCGAGAUAAACUAAAUUGGCACCUUCCAGAUUCAUGAUUCACAUAUUAUACAAGUUAUUAUCCAUUCAUUUAUCGAUGUGUUAUACUUUUUUACUUAGUUCCUAUACUUGAUGAAAAACAUGAAGUGAGAUUGUGAGUUCUGUUUAACCCAUGAAUGAAGUAAAAUUCUAUUUAGGUCACUAUUCUUAAAAAUCUUACACCAUUUGCUUGACAUAUUGUCACGCGUGCCACGUAUUUAGAUUUCCAACAGAAGUCUGUAAUCAAGCACCAGGAAAAAGAUCCUCAAAUUCUGAUUAUUUGAUUGCCUAUUCAAGGUACGUAUUUAUGGGAUUUUAUCUUUCGUUUUGCGCAUUGCUUUAUGAAGCGAUGUGAGUUCUUUGGAAGUUAUUAUAGAAAGUUUUCUCGUGAAAAAUCUUCCUCCAGUUCCAAAAGUUUCUUUAUGAAGUUAUAUAAUGACAAUUAGACUACUAAUAAUAUCACAUUUGCUGAUAGACUAUUGCUUCCUUGCUCUAAUAUGUGAUUGCACCUGAAAUGACAUUCACGUUCUGCUUCCUGGUUAGCUCUUGGUCAUCGUUACACAUGAAAUGACAUCAAGCUUUCCUUCAGUUCAUGAAAUUAGAUACCGGGGUAUUUGAAGAUGUGUCUAUGAUUCUGAGGUAAUAUUGAAAUAGUAUUAUAUUAUUAUUCCAUCCCCGACCUGCUGUCAGGUCCUAAAAGUUGAUUUUGUUUUGGUUAUGGCUUGUGUUGUAUCAAAAUAAGUAAGUAGAUUUAUGGUGAAGAUGAAGAUUGUUGUCAAGAUCGUGAUCCCUUGUUACUUAUGUAAGUCUUUCAAGAUGAGGCGACCAUUUCUUCUGUUAAGUCUUUCGAGAAGAGCUGACUAAAUCUUUAUUCAAUCGCUUGUUCAAAGCAACUAAUGGAAUUCUUUUGCCGGCCUCUUCGGAAAAAAUAUGUCCAUCAUCUAUGAAAACGAGCUCACGAAAUGUUGGCGUCGGAGAAGAUGGUCGGGUACUAGAACACACAAGGUGGAUCCUGGUGGCGCCGUCAGCUUGAGAUUGUAAAUUGUGCAACAGAAAUUAAGUUGAACAGAUUACAGUGGUUCAUGGUUGCCUCUCAAGAAUCCGCCUGCUAACUUUCUUUUGUACUAGAGUAUUGAACUGAAUGCGCAAAUUAUUGGAACGAGUUAAUGCUACUUACUCCGAUUCAUAUUACUUGCAGUUAAUAUGGAUGUAUUUAGAACUAAAAUGUUCUCAACGGUAUGACUCCUUUUAUUGCUUCAUUUUGAUUGCUUCAUGGCAGUACUCUUAGUGUGGUGGUCACAAUCGUUAUUGAUGCUAAAAUACUUUAGCUCUUCAUGUUCUGCUAUACCCUGCUUAAAAAGUUGUCAAAUAACAGAAUUUGUCAUGUACUCGCGGUCAAAAUUAAAUACUUCAAGUGAUGCUGUUGUGAAUGGCAUUGCAUAUCUAAGUUUUGCUGUCACAUAACGGAGUAUUUUAGCAUCAUGUUCAGUUGUUGUUUCCUGAAAUGCUUUAGCUCUUGUUCUCUGAAGCAUGGGGCCUUUCACUCACCAGGAUUGCUUCAUGACACAAACGCACCAUCAGAACAAUAGAUGUCCAGUGGAUGACGGCGGAUCGAGGCAUCAGGCACUUGGAGAUGCCGGUGUGAAUACGAGCCUACAGGUCUGGAUCAAUCUGGCCUCCAAGGACAAGGUCUGGAGCAGCAGCCUUCAGGCCCUGGGUGGUUCUAUACAUGCAUUUCAUCAGCGUUUCUCCAAACAAUUAGGAUCCGGGACUAACCAUUUAUUAUAUUUUACUCAUAGCAGAUUUCGAUAUCUAAUUCAAGAUAUAGUUACCUAGAAAUUGGGAAUGACAUUGGCUAUAUCAGUACAUGAUGAAAUCAUUUUUAAGAAGCACACUUGAUUUAUAUAAAACUGAGAAGAUGGUAUUGUACUGUAGCUUCCUUCUUGCAUCAAUGAUGAAGAGAUGUGCUUCUGUGAUCAUUGUUGAUAGUAUAGGGUCUUCCACUUUCAGGUUCUUAGGAAACACCUCUAAAGUACCUUCUUAACCUCUAAUGUUCUUCUGGAAACCCACCUAAUGCCUUCAUAUGUGUCCUGGUAUUUGGUGCUUAGUCAUUUACAGCAUAGUAUCAAGAUAGUGCUCUUGCUUCUUUCAUUCUUGUCAUUCAUUUCUUAUACUGCCAGCAACGUUUUCUCAUAUUAAGUUUACAAGGUCAUUUCUACUACUUACUACCAUUGUUAUUGCGAUGAGUCUCAUGCCCUUUUAACUUACAAUGUCACUGCUUUACAUUAAAAUAGUGUUGAUGGAGAAAUGAUGAAUUCCAGUUGGAGAGAAUAUUACGAGAGAUGACACAAAUUGCGGCAUAGUGAAAAUUGGGUGACUAAUUGAGUGAGAUAGCUGUUGUGUUAUAGCUGGUGAUAUUUUUUUUUCUUGGUGUGCCCGUAGUUUCCAUUUUAAGGAUCAAUACCACGAAACAAUACCUCUACACCAAGAGAAACAAAAACUUAAGGAUGUUAUUUGAGAGCCGGUAAAACCUGCAACUUUGGCAAAUAACAAUGGGCAGCAAAAGUAUAUGAACAUCUACAUGUAUUAUCUACUGCAGCUAACUGAAAGUUAUGGAUGGAUUUUUUUGAUCUCUUAGUGUUGUUCCUGUGUCCAGGCAAAAGAUAUCAGUACAGAAGCAUAAGCUAGGAUGCAUGUUUUUUUUUUUUGCUUCAAUGGUUUCUGUUUAUUCCUGGAAGUAUUAUCACAUUUUUGCAACGGAACAGUACAUGUAGAUCACCUUCUCGAAUAUAGAGCAAAAUAUAACUCAUGAUUUUCAACUUCUCAGGUGGUUUUCAACAUAGGGAAAUAUGAAAUUCUCAGGGGGACGAGGGCCGCCACUCUUGAAGCCACCGCAGAAAGAACAGAGAGGGGAUGCCUCCCCAAUUCACUCCACAUCCAGCAGAUCCACGCCGGGUAGAGAGAGGGGCGGGCGGAGGGAUAGUGUGGAAGGCUCCCCAGGCUGAGGGAGAGGUGGUGCCUGGAGGCGCAUGACGCUUCCUUGAUGCCCUCCACAGGUCAGCAGGAAGGACAUGCCACUGGUUCGACCACAACUGGAAGAAGAUAGAGGAGCAUGUCCGCACAAAGACUACGGUACAGAAUCUAGGUGUCGCCGCCGGGGCUGCCGCACCCAAGUCAUGCUCAGAAGUACUUCAAUGUUUGUAUGACACAAACACUGGUAAGAGUAACACAGGUACAACAUUCAAAAUCUACUAACUUGUCUAGCAAAAAAAUAACAUUUAAGUUGCCUCCGCAAAUGCGAGAGCUGAUCAUAACUUUAUGGGUACAUCUUAUUUGGUUACUUUUUGUGUUAUUUUUAAAGAAUUUUAUGUAUGUAAGUGUGCCAGACUUGCUGAUGCAUGUGCUUUCAGUUUUAUAGUGGAAGAAAGUAACUGUUUGAUCGAAGCUAUCUUAUGAAGCUUCUGCCUACCCUACAAAAUGAGUAGUUGCAAUAAAAUGCCACUUGUGGGAGGAAAGAUACGAGAAAUAAUGAUAGGUUUUAGAGCAAAUGGUUGUAUGCAUUGGAGGAAAUUUUUAUAAUGUAAUUUUGUAUACCUAUGCUACUCAUAUAAUAUUUUCUUAUUAAGAAUAUCUACCAAUGUAUAAAAAAACAGAGGCACUAUACUUUAUUCUUCUGUUUGCAUUUGUUGGGAUCAGAAAAGUUGUUCUUGUUAUAGACACACUUACACAAUGAAACUGCUGCUAAUUGUGUUAUGCAAAGAUGGCAACAUGGUGAAAGAUC